GUCCACACUGUAACGAUGAUAACUAACUGUUGGCUUUCGGGUCAGUGGUACAGAGAAUCGUUAAGUUAUCCACCUGGGGAGUACGCCGGCAACGGUGAAACUCAAAGGAAUUGACGGGGUCCGCACAAGCGGUGGAGCAUGUGGUUUAAUACGACGCUACGCGUGGAACCUUACCAGGACUUGACAUGUAUAUGCAAUCCUAUCGAAAGAUAGGACCUGUCCUAAAGACACAUUUACACAGGUGUUGCAUGGCUGUCGU
rnacentral:rRNA from 1 species